rnacentral:rRNA from 1 species
GCCUACGGGAGGCAGCAGUGGGGAAUAUUGGGCAAUGGGCGCAAGCCUGACCCAGCAACGCCGCGUGAAGGAAGAAGGCUUUCGGGUUGUAAACUUCUUUUAUUCGGGACGAAGAAAGUGACGGUACCGAAUGAAUAAGCCACGGCUAACUACGUGCCAGCAGCCGCGGUAAUACGUAGGUGGCAAGCGUUAUCCGGAUUUAUUGGGUGUAAAGGGCGUGUAGGCGGGAAUGCAAGUCAGAUGUGAAAACUCAGGGAUCAACCCUGAGCCUGCAUUUGAAACUGAAUUUCUUGAGUGCUGGAGAG